UGGUCGUAACUUCUUUGUACGGAAAAACCAACAGGUCGAGUAUCUGUGCUGAUGGUACCGUAAGAAUAAGGAUCGGCUAACUCCGUGC
rnacentral:rRNA from 1 species